UCACAGUGACCAAGGGCGUUCCCUGGAAUGUCUGUGGCAAGUUUAGACGCUGGUGCACAUGGCAGGUAAUUAGGGACAAAGCAACUAGUCCAGACGGGACCUUUCUGGUUCCAGCCCACCCAGCCAAUCAAUAUGCAUUAAUCAUUACACGCUUAUUGUUAAUGUGAUUCAGCUUCAGUGACUCACUGGGAUCACACACAGGACAGUCUGUUGUGACUCGAGACGGGCCAGAGAGCUUAAGGAAUUGAGAAACAUGUUUUGCCUUAAAGGUGCAGAACGCUCCGGUGAUGAGCCAGAAGAGCCCAAUGAUGCCUCAUCCUUCCAACUCGGGUUGUACACUCCAGAAGGGCAGGGGCCGCAUUGCUUCCGCCUGGGUCUCCGGCACCUACAGCGGAGCCUCGGGGAGACUGGCUGCGGACAAAGUGUGUGAUGUUGACCAAAUAAAGAAGAAAAGACAUAUGAAGACACAGUGAAAAGGGGACCAUCUAAACGCCAGGAAGAGGGCUCUCACCAGAAACCAAGUUAGCGAGUGCCUUGAUCUUGGACUUCCCAGCCUUCAGAACUAUGAGAAAUACUUUUCUGUUGUUUGAGCCAGCCAGUCUGUGGUAUUUUGUUAUGGUAACCCAAGCAGACGGAUACAUAGGUUAUUGAUAAAAGCCAGAUUCUAAAUUUUUUUAUGA